UGGGGCGUCGCCAAGCGGUAAGGCAGCGGGCUUUGGACCCGCGAUUCGGGGGUUCGAAUCCUCCCGCCCCAG
rnacentral:tRNA from 1 species